CAGUGCAUCUGGACUUGGUUCAAGUGGCACCAGCCAAAUCCCUGCCUUACUGACCUCUCCCCUGGAGGAGCAGGAGCAGCGCUCAAGGCCGCCCUGGGAGGGCUGAGAGGCAGGCUCUGGACUGGGGACACAGGGAUAGCUGAGCCCCAGCUGGGGGUGGAAGCUGAGCCAGGGACAGUCACAGAGGAACAAGAUCAAGAUGCGCUUUAACUGAGAAGCCCCCAAGGCAGAGGCUGAGAAUCAGAAGACAUUUCAGCAGACAUCUACAAAUCUGAAGGACAAAACAUGGUUCAAGCAUCUGGGCACAGGCGGUCCACCCGUGGCUCCAAAAUGGUCUCCUGGUCCGUGAUAGCAAAGAUCCAGGAAAUAUGAUGCGAGGAAGAUGAGAGGAAGAUGGCGCGAGAGUUCCUGGCCGAGUUCAUGAGCACAUAUGUCAUGAUGGAAUCUCAGUGAGUCACCAGGGUGAAGUUUUGCCAAAAAAGCUAGUGUGACCUUGGCCCCAUUUAUUGCAGCCAGGACAAGGGAAGUGGACUGAUCCGUGUUGCAGCUUCCAGGUGUGUUGCCCUUGGAGCUGGCCUCCUGGCUGUGGGGGAGAGUUGGAUGGGCUGGGCCACAUUCACUGAUCAGGGAGAGGAGGGGCUGGAGCCAUCCGGGCCCUGGAAAACCAGCCAUACACAUGAGACACGGGGCAAGGGUUGUAGAUCACAUGCUACGGGGGCCAAGAGAGCGGCAACUCAGGGCGGUGGGGACUUUGGCUGGCUGCAGAGUGCCAAUCUGUGCAAGGCUGUAGAGCUGCUGCCACUCCAGCUGACUGUUGCCAUGGAGGGUGGAAUGCAGGCCAGUGUUGCUUGAGCUGCUCAUUUUUCAAGAGAGAUGAAAACUUCUGUUCUUCAAAACCAAGUUAUCUAAACAAAAUCUGUGCGCUGGAUGAAUUAGGUGCAUGAGUUGCCAGUUGGCAACCCUGACACAAGGAAUCAUGUGGGGUUCAUUCACUCACCCAGUAUUUUAUUUUAUUUAUUUUAUUUUUUUGAGACAGAGUCUCACCCUGUUGCCCAGGCUGGAGUGCAGUGGUG
rnacentral:lncRNA from 1 species